rnacentral:rRNA from 1 species
UGGGGAAUCUUGCGCAAUGGGGGGAACCCUGACGCAGCGACGCCGCGUGCGGGAUGGAGGCCUUCGGGUCGUAAACCGCUUUCAGCAGGGAUGAGACAAGACGGUACCUGCAGAAGAAGCCCCGGCUAACUACGUGCC